rnacentral:tRNA from 1 species
GCCCGGAUGGUGGAACUUUGGUAGACACGUACGUUUGAGGGGCGUAUACCGCAAGGUGUGCGAGUUCGAGUCUCGCUCCGGGCACCA